rnacentral:lncRNA from 1 species
CUCACCUCUCAACAAGAUGCACCCAGAGCCUAUCAGGAUGUCUGAAGCAAUCAAGAUAUUAAUACCUUAGCAUCCAUUGCCAUAAGAACAUGUCAUUCCUUCGUCCAAGAUUUAUGCUACGUAAUAGGGAUGCAAUGAUGGAAAAAAAGAACACAACAGCAAUGAUAAAACCUACAUAAUACAAAAUUGUACUUUUUUGUAGAAAUCAAUAGUCUACAACAAACAGAUAUCACCAAAACACUAUAGCUCCAUAUGCCUGCAAAGCUUUGCUGAUCCUCCCAGCAUUUAUUAUGUAUCUGAUUGUGUGGGUGGCCACCCUCAUAAGAGCAGUUGGGACAAAAAUGGUAAAUCUCGUCUUGGAAUUCAAAAGACACCAUAACAGAUGUUAUACAAAAGGAAUGAGAAUACAGAAGGAAGAAAAGAAGAGCUGUUAUGAACCUCUACAGAGAUAAGAUGAAAUGAGAAUGUGGACCAGAGUAUUUCUGUUCAUUGCAUCCCUCACUCCCAAUAACCAUGAGAAUGAUAGGGUGAGGAGGGGACAUCCUCUGGAUAUUUGAAGUGGGCUGGGAAGAAUGGUCUGGACCAUCACCUAUAUCUGAUCCAUCCAGAAAUCCAGGAGUUGGCAGUCUAAGGGUGAUUUUUGUUUCCAAAUGUGGAGCUAGGCAACUGUCUUCUACCACUGGAACAAAAAACCUAGAGAUUACAACCCUGAGAAGGAGGAUCCGCAGGGAUCUGGCCUGGAGAACACCAGAAAUAGGCUGUCGACAUGCUGUAAAAUGUUCUCUCGUGAUGCUGGGCAUCAACAGCGAGCAACAGCUCCCACUCAGCCCCACGAUCAUGAGGGCUGAAUUCCACACUAACACUGCUGGAGGAAUUAGAACACGUCGAAGCAUGAAAGGCUAGAAUGCAGACAUGGGAGCAACUCAACAUCAAACAUGCAGAUGAUGACAACUAACCCGUAGGGAAUAGUAGAACAACAAAAUGGCAGAAACCUGUGUCCUUAAGAGACUCCAUGGAUCAGAGCCACUCUGCUAACCUAGGCCAGCCCAAAUAAAACGUGUCUGAGAAAUAAACUUAUUUAACCUUCUGUA